rnacentral:rRNA from 1 species
CAGCAGCCACGGUAAUACGAAGGGGGCUAGCGUUGUUCGGAAUUACUGGGCGUAAAGCGCACGUAGGCGGAUAUUUAAGUCAGGGGUGAAAUCCCAGAGCUCAACUCUGGAACUGCCUUUGAUACUGGGUAUCUUGAGUAUGGAAGAGGUGAGUGGAAUUCCGAGUGUAGAGGUGAAAUUCGUAGAUAUUCGGAGGAACACCAGUGGCGAAGGCGGCUCACUGGUCCAUUACUGACGCUGAGGUGCGAAAGCGUGGGGAGCAAACAGGAUUAGAUACCCCAGUAGUCCCUGUCUCUUAUAC